rnacentral:rRNA from 1 species
UACGAAGGGGGCUAGCGUUGUUCGGAUUUACUGGGCGUAAAGAGCCUACGUGGUUGGUUGUGUCGUUGUCGUGAAAACCGGGGGCUUAACCCUCGGCGUGCGGGCGAUACGGGCAGACUUGAGUACUGCAGGGGAGAUGGAAUUCCUGGUGUAGCGGUGGAAUGCGCAGAUAUCAGGAGGAACACCGAUGGCGAAGGCAGAUCUCUGGGCCGUAACUGACGCUGAGGAGCGAAAGCAUGGGGAGCGAACAGG